rnacentral:rRNA from 1 species
GGCGGAGUCGUUAAUAGCGGCCUCGUUUGACGUUAGCUGCAGAAGAAGCACCGGCUAACUCCGUUGCCAGCAGCCGCGGUAAUACGGAGGGUGCGAGCGUUAAUCGGAAUUACUGGGCGUAAAGCGCAUGCAGGUGGUUUUGUUAAGUCAGAUGUGAAAAGCCCGGGGCUCAACCUCGGAAUUGCAUUUGAAACUGGCAGACUAGAGUACUGUAGAGGGGGUAGAAUUUCAGGUGUAGCGGUGAAAAUGCGUAGAGAUCUGAAGGAAUACCGGUGGCGAAGGCGGCCCCCUGGACAGAUACUGACACUCAGAUGCGAAAGCGUGGGGAGCAAACAGGAUUAGAUACCCUGGUAG